GACAAUGGGUUAUCGGCGGAGUUGAACGGGAUGAUCAUGGUAAAAGCAAGGUAUUUCUCGUCCCCCUGUACCGGAUCGUUGCUCUGACACAUUAAUUGGGGUUAUUGAACGUUUUGUGAAACCUGGCACACCGAUAAUAACCGAUUGAUGGAAGUGGUCCGAUGCUUUACAAACAGAGCGUUUACGUUAUUUCACUUUGAAUCACUCGUUGAACUUAGUUGAUCCGGAAAUAGAAGCUCGAACUCAGAACACUGAAAGGCUUCGGGUUGAAGUUCGUAAGGUGGUCCCGGGGGCACGGAUCAUUUGGGGGGUUAUCUGUACGACGUUUUGUUCCGUCCGUCCGUUUUUGGAAGGCGGCGCAACGUUUUACUCGCCGGAUCAUCCAUUGCGAUAAGGUCAAAUCUCUUUGAUUCCUCUGUGGGAUCCUAUAUUGAUGAACACAAUCCUUUUUAUUGGAAACUUCAUAUCAUAUCAAAGUUUUUCCACUCUGACAAUCCAGAUA